GGCAUUUGCUGAACAACCAAAGUGGAUUAUUUUACAACCAUGGACAUUAUGACAAUUACUAGAAUUUGCUCUAGAAUGGCUGUUUUUUUAAAUUUUAUUUUUAAGUUAAUAAUUAUGGAUAUCUUAAAAUUUGGAGAUAAUAACAGUUUCCUCCUGUCUUAUAGGGAGGGUGAGGUUAGUGGGUAUAUAACCACAAAUUUCACUAUUUCACUACCACAAUUAAUUUCUAGUCUGGAUAGAAUAAACUGGUACAGUAUUGAACAGAUUUGGAUGGCUUUAAAUUUCAUUUUAGGUCUACUGUCUAGGUGAUAUGCAGCGAUGCAUCGCGUUCCCAUUAAAAAGACUUGUCUAAAAUCGAUUCUGAAUCGUAAGGCUUCGUGUCAGUGUUUCAUGCACAGCUUGUGCAUGUACUACGGCUCCGUGAUCAGUAGGAAGUCCAUAUCAAUCUAAAAUCACUAUGUGUCUGACUCGUUUAUAAUGUGCAUUUAAAAAAGCAAACACUCGUCAAACACAAUCCUUCAAAAUAUUCUCUAGUAUCAUGAAAAUACCUGAAACAAUCCGAAGAGCAGCGAUAUAAAUAUGCCUGUAGAUAUUUCCUGGAAUAGUGUUUGUAAUGAUACUUCUUCUGUGGCACAAAUGGAGUUUCUGCACGAGAGCGCCCUCUGGAUUUUGAAUGUGGCGGCAUUUCACCGUAAUUCAUUCAAAUUCAUUCAUUGAGAAAACGCGCAUUUGCCCGAUUAAGUGUCACAACCCUACUACUGUCAUAGUCUGUUCUAUACAUUUAUCGGUUUUAUAUAAAAAAAAUAUGAAAAAAAAUAAUAAAAAUAAAAAAAUAAUAAAAAAAAUAAUAAACCUAUAUGUAGCUAUAUGAAACUAUAUCUAUUUAAAGUAAAUAAAAAUAAAUUUUUAUUUACUUUAAAUUAUUCAUAAUUAUUAUAUUAAAAAUUUUAUAAAAUAAUAUUACAAAAUCUUUAGUUAAAUACAAUUGGUAUUUUCCACCAGCCCUGACAUCCCAAUAGGCUUUAUGCCCAGCUGCACUACUUCCUGAACUUCAUCCAGCUCCUGGCUGAAGUUCAGGAAGUAGUGCAGCUGGGCAUAAAGCCUAUUAACCCUGGAAGCACACUUACAGCCCAAAAUCAUUCAAGGUCAGAAUAUAGGUGUUGUGGUGUGUCCCUGCAGGGUUCAUAAAAGUUUCAGUUGUCAUAUAAAGUCCAUAGUUGUAAAAUAACCCACUGUUCAGCAGUGUCCCGAAGAGAGAUUUUGUCAAUCCGAAACAUCACCUUGUGUUCGGUUGUCUGGAGCAGAUAUCUAGGGGCAGGAGAGGUGCUGAAAUCUUCAACAUCUACAUCAAGGACCUGCACCUCUCACAUCAUCUCUGCACCAUACUGAAAAACAUCUACAGCAGAAUCUGCUUCAUGUCUGUGCCUGACUUGACAAUAUUCAAACUCUCUUCGUAUGGAGUCGUGGCCUAAUGCUUAGAGAGUCUGGCUUGUAUCCCGAGAGUUGCAACCUCGAGGCUCACAGCCAGCGGGUUACGACUUAUGAGCCCUGAAGUGGCAAGAACCAAGCACCUAUCACUGCUCCACUGCUCCGUGUGUGUUUUCUCUACUCACCAGAUGGGUUAAAUGCAGAGGUGUAUAAAAAAAAAUAUAACGCUUUUGAUGAUUCUGGAAACAAAAAUAAAUAAUAAACUCUUUUUUUCUCUUU